rnacentral:rRNA from 1 species
AUUGAACGCUGGCGGCAGGCCUAACACAUGCAAGUCGAACGAGUGGCGGACGGGUGAGAAAUGUGGGGGAAACUGCCUGAUGGAGGGGGAUAACUACUGGAAACGGUAGCUAAUACCGCAUACCAUCAGAUGUGCCGAGAUGGGAUUAGGUUGCUGGUGGGGUAACGGCUCACCAAGGCGACGAACCCUAGCUGGGCUGCGAGGAUGACCAGCCACACUGGAGAUUAGACACGGUCCAGACUCCUACGGGAGGCAGCAGUGGGGAAUAUUGCACAAUGGGCGCAAGCCUGAUGCAGCCAUGCCUGGUGUAUGAAGAAGGCCUUCGGGUUGUAAAGUACUUUCAGCGGGGAGGCGUUACCCGCAGUAGCAGCACCGGCUAACUCCGUGCCAGCCGCCGCGGUAAUAC